rnacentral:rRNA from 1 species
UAGUUUGAUCAUGGGCUCAGAAUUGAACGUUGGCGGCAGGCUUAAGACAUGCAAAGUCGAGCGGUAACAGAUCGCUAGGAUCCCUUCGGGGUGACUUUGAUGCUGACGAGCGGCGGACGGGUGAGUAACGCGUAGGAAUCUACCCAGUAGCGGGGGAUAGCCCGGGGAAACCCGGAUUAAUACCGCAUACGCCCUACGGGGGAAAGGGGGGGCUCUCUUCGGAGACCUCUCACUAUUGGAGGAGCCUGCGUUGGAUUAGCUUGUUGGUGAGGUAAAGGCUCACCAAGGCUACGAUCCAUAGCUGGUCUGAGAGGACGAUCAGCCACACUGGAACUGAGACACGGUCCAGACUCCUACGGGAGGCAGCAGUCGGGAAUAUUGUGCAAUGGGCGAAAGCCUGACACAGCCAUGCCGCGUGUGUGAAGAAGGCCUUAGGGUUGUAAAGCACUUUCAGUAAGGAAGAAAAAGCCGAGCCAAUAACUCGGUAAUAUGACAUUACUUACAGAAGAAGCACCGGCUAACUCCGUGCCAGCAGCCGCGGUAAUACA